GGAGUGCAGCAGGGCCAUGGUGGGCGGCGACAGGGCAAUGGGUAGCUGGAGGACGGAGCGGAGAUGCCAGCGGGCACGGACACGGAGGCGCAGGGUCCUGCUGAAGUUUCGGAGGGCUCAUCUUCAACAAGACCAUAUCCAAGCAGCAGUUCAAAGGAGUGGACAUAUUUAACCCAUCGUAUGUGAUCAGUUUGGAGGAGAAUUGACAUCUUAACAACAUUGAGUCUUCUGACCCGUGACCAAGAGAUCAGUCUUUUUAAGAGUGGUGCAUGGAACUGAUUCUGACUUUGAAGCUUCUAAGACCAUGGGAUUUUCUGAAGUCAAAGGACGACUGAUUUGGAGAGCCCAAGAGCCACAACUACUGAGCCCGUGCGCC